rnacentral:rRNA from 1 species
UACGUAGGGUGCUAGCGUUGCUCGGAAUUAUUGGGCGUAAAGCGCUCGUAGGCGGUCUUUUACGUCGGGGGUGAAAUCCUGGAGCUCAACUCCAGAAUUGCCUUCGAUACUGGAAGACUUGAGUCCGGGAGAGGUGAGUGGAACUGCGAGUGUAGAGGUGAAAUUCGUAGAUAUUCGCAAGAACACCAGUGGCGAAGGCGGCUCACUGGCCCGGUACUGACGCUGAGGUGCGAAAGCGUGGGGAGCAAACAGG